rnacentral:lncRNA from 10 species
CUUGGCUGCAGAAUAGUGAGAGAGACGCAAUGUUACUGGCUUUGAAGAUGCAAUGGUGUUUGGCUCCUUUGAGCCAAGGAGUGAGGAAACUGUAAGGAAACAGAUUCAGCCCAAGAGCGUUAAGAAGGAACAUAGCCCUGGCACCAUCUGGAUUUCAGCCUAGUGAGACCCAUUUUGGCCUUCUGACCUCCAGAACUUUUCUAGGUAAGGGCAUGGCUUAGAUGGGCCCUCUGCUUAGAGUCUCACAACACUGUAAUCAAGGUGACACCUGGACAGUGUUCUCAUCUGGAGAUUUGACUGAGGAAGAAACCCCUUUUAAGCUCACUCAGGUUAUUGGCAGAAUUCAUUUCCAUGCUGCUCUAAAACCAAGUAUCCAGGCUUCUUUCUGACUGCUGGCUAGAGUUUGCCCAAGGUUCCUCACCAUGAGAGCUUCCUCAACAUGACUGCUUACUUCAUCAAGCCAACAAGGAGAGUGUCUGGAGUGAGUCUACUAGCAAGACAGCGUCUUAUAUUAUGUAACACAAUAACAGGAAGAACAUCCCACCACUUUUGCCGUAUUCUGUUGGUUAGAAGCAAGUCCCAGGUCCUGCCUACACACAAGUGAACACACCAGGAAGCAAGGAUCCCUGGUGGUCACCCUAGAGUUUGUGUGCCAAAUAUAGUAAAUGAAUGAAUAAAUGAAAGUGUGAGUGAGUGAAUAAGUAAAUGAGUAAGUGAAUGAGUGAAGUUGGGUUUGAAUGUUGUAAGCCCCUUGGACAACAGAAAACAUGGGAAAUAGUUGUAAAUACAGGAUAAAUAGGUAGGUAGUAGACUCUAAGGUAACUGCUCAAUUGAAGUCAUAAUGCAAGCAUCUAACCUUUGUGAAAAUAAUGUGUUGAAUAAUUAUAGGGCCUGGGCUGUAAGGCCCAGAGAAUGUCAGAGUAAAAUCUCAGGGAUGGUGGGAAAUAGAGACCUAAAAGAAUAUAUAGGGCUUUUAGUCUCACUUUAAAGUGAUAAUUUUCUUACAAUUGGAGCAAAUGGAGAAAUUAGAAAUGAAAUAAAAUGGUCAAAUAUAAUUACAUAAAUUUUUAACUUGUAAGUAAUAGAAAUAACUAGCAAUAAAAACCAAAAAAAUCAACACACAUGAAAAAUAGAAUUAUCAGCACCAAGUAUAUGAAAAUUUA